UCCCUAAUGCUCAAAUGGUAAAGAAUCUGCUUGCAAUGCAGGAUACCCUAGUUCAAUCCCUGGUUUGGGAC
rnacentral:tRNA from 1 species